rnacentral:lncRNA from 1 species
GGAACAAUGUGCACCAAAGGAAUGAGCUGUAACUGGCUGGAUCUGAAAAGACAAGCGGGAAAACGGCUGCCAGAGGCCCAAGAGUGUCUGAUGACGGCCUGACACUGCCCUGGAGGAGGGACAGACCCUCAGUCCCUAGGCUAGAAGGGACUUACCCUAUAGGCUCCACGGUCCUUUUCUACCCCUGAAUACCAUGUCAUGCAAACCUCUGGUCUAUUAAUAAAUGCUUGAUGAACUGAAUCACGACAGGCCUCCUAGCCAGAGAACACUGCCCUGUUUCUCCAGAGCAGAUCUAAGGAGGCAGCAUGAGGUUGAGAAAGAGCAGAGUCGUGGGGUCAGCAUGGCUGGGUGGUUCCUGCCCCUUCCCAGUGUGUAAUCUGUCUUCUAAGAUGGGGCUCCUGAUCCUCCUCGUGCAGGAGGUUGGUAGGAUCAAGUCAGGCAAGGAAAACUACAGUCCCUUAAAUUUGGAUUGGUGUGUUGUGUCCCUCUGUUCCUUCCUUCCUGGAUAAGGGGUGGAAAACCCACUCUGUAUACCAUAGCCCAGGAAGGAAGCCAGCCUGAGCCUUUGGAGAUGUGGCAGGGGAAAGAGCUUCCUGUACCUGGCUGAGGGUGGGUGAGCUGUAGAAGGACUGGGAUGAUCAGAAGCAGCCAGAGACUCAGCAGGCACUUAGAAGUUCAAAUCUUGAAAUGAGUGCCAAAGGGGACCUGUAUGUGAUAGGGGAUUGAGCUGGUCUAAAGUCCCAUUUAAUAGAUGAGGAAACAGAAGCCCAGACGGCAAGAUCCCAGGGUUAGCAUGAUCUGGCACUAAGGCUUGUCUGACAGCUCAAGUCCCCCAUUGCUGAAAAUUCUAAUAAAAAUAAUCUCUGUGUAGCAAAGAGAUGAUGGAACCAAUGAUAAUGGCUGGGAAACUGGAUUGGAACAGAUACCUGUGUCAGCCUUGGGAAUCUG